rnacentral:rRNA from 1 species
AGAGUUUGAUCAUGGCUCAGAGUGAACGCUGGCGGCGUGCCUAACACAUGCAAGUCGAACGAGAACGGAUUACAGCUUGCUGUAAUUGUCAGCUAAGUGGCGCACGGGUGAGUAAUAUAUAGUUAAUCUGCCCCAAAGAAGAGAAUAAUUGUUGGAAACGACUUGUAAUGCUCUAUAUGCCUUUAAGACAUAAGUCUGCAAGGGAAAUAUUUAUAGCUUUGGGAUGAGACUGUACGGUAUCAGCUAGUUGGUGAGGUAAUGGCUCACCAAGGCUAUGACAUCUAACUGGUUUGAGAGGAUGAUCAGUCACACUGGAACUGAGACACGGUCCAGACUCCUACGGGAGGCAGCAGUGGGGAAUAUUGCACAAUGGAGGAAACUCUGAUGCAGCAACGCCGCGUGGAGGAUGACACAUUUCGGUGCGUAAACUCCUUUUAUAUGAGAAGAUAAUGACG